rnacentral:tRNA from 1 species
GGGAUUGUAGCUCAGUGGUAGAGUGCUUGCCUACCAUGCGUGAGACACUGUUCAAUCCCU